CAGCAGCCGCGGUAAUACGGAGGAUGCAAGCGUUAUCCGGAAUCAUUGGGCGUAAAGCGUCCGCAGGUGGCUAGUCAAGUCUGCUGUCAAAGGUCGGGGCUUAACUCCGGAAAGGCAGUGGAAACUGGCAAGCUAGAGUCCGGUAGGGGUAGAGGGAAUUCCCAGUGUAGCGGUGAAAUGCGUAGAGAUUGGGAAGAACAUCGGUGGCGAAAGCGCUCUACUGGGCCGGAACUGACACUGAGGGACGAAAGCUAAGGGAGCGAAUGGGAUUAGAUACCCCAGUAGUCUUAGCUGUAAACGAUGGAAACUAGGCGUGGCUUGUAUCGACCCGAGCCGUGCCGAAGCUAACGCGUUAAGUUUCCCGCCUGGGGAGUACGCACGCAAGUGUGAAACUCAAAGGAAUUGACGGGGGCCCGCACAAGCGGUGGAGUAUGUGGUUUAAUUCGAUGCAACGCGAAGAACCUUACCAGGGCUUGACAUGUCGCGAAUCUCUUGGAAACGAGAGAGUGCCUUAGGGAGCGCGAACACAGGUGGUGCAUGGCUGUCGUCAGCUCGUGUCGUGAGAUGUUGGGUUAAGUCCCGCAACGAGCGCAACCCUCGUUCUUAGUUGCCAGCAAUCAGAUGGGCACUCUAGGGAGACUGCCGGUGACAAACCGGAGGAAGGUGGGGAUGACGUCAAGUCAGCAUGCCCCUUACGUCCUGGGCGACACACGUACUACAAUGGCCGAGACAAAGGGCAGCGACCUCGCGAGAGCCAGCGAAUCCCAUCAAACUCGGUCUAAGUUCAGAUUGCAGGCUGAAACUCGCCCGCAUGAAGGAGGAAUCGCUAGUAAUCGCCGGUCAGCAUACGGCGGUGAAUCCGUUCCCGGGCCUUGUACACACCGCCCGUCACACCAUGGGAGCUGGCCACGCCCGAAGUCGUUACCCUAACCGAGUUUCGGAGGGGGAUGCCGAAGGCAGGGCUAGUGACUGGGGUGAAGUCGUAACAAGGUAACCGUA
rnacentral:rRNA from 1 species